rnacentral:rRNA from 1 species
CCUACGGGAGGCAGCAGUGGGGAAUAUUGGACAAUGGGGGGAACCCUGAUCCAGCCAUGCCGCGUGUGUGAAGAAGGCCCUCGGGUUGUAAAGCACUUUAGUGAGGAAGAACGCCUGGUGGUUAAUACCCAUCAGGAAAGACAUCACUCACAGAAGAAGCACCGGCUAACUCCGUGCCAGCAGCCGCGGUAAUACGGAGGGUGCGAGCGUUAAUCGGAAUUACUGGGCGUAAAGCGCGCGUAGGUGGCUUGAUAAGCCGGUUGUGAAAGCCCCGGGCUCAACCUGGGAACGGCAUCCGGAACUGUCAAGCUAGAGUGCAGGAGAGGAAGGUAGAAUUCCCGGUGUAGCGGUGAAAUGCGUAGAGAUCGGGAGGAAUACCAGUGGCGAAGGCGGCCUUCUGGACUGACACUGACACUGAGGUGCGAAAGCGUGGGUAGCAAACAGGAUUAGAUACCCGAGUAGUC